GCUAAAGCAGAGUAAAAAAGUUUACCGCACCAACAAUAAUAAAAUAAGUUUCUUACGUUAAGAUUAACAAAAACAAGGAACAUCCAUUUUAUAUUAUUUUUACCACAUUACUAGAUUAUAUUCACUGAUUAUGCAAUGUGUUACGGUUUGCUAUAUGGCGUUGGAACAUCUAUUAAUGCCACAACAAAAUUUGAACCAAUAAUAUGUUACUAAUAUAUUGUACGAAAAUCUUGAUAUAAAAAGAAGAUUAGAGGGAGAGAGAAAAUGGUCACUGGCUAUAAACAAAAACAGGUUAAUAACCUAAAAAUGACAACUAAAACUUUCAUCUGAU
rnacentral:lncRNA from 1 species